GGGGUUACUGCAGAUUUUUGAGAAAGAUCACCAACUCCACAAGAAGAUGGUGAAUAUAGUGGGAGAAUCUUCUUCAGACGGGCAUCGUCCCUUUAAGGAAGGGAAGAAAAAAAAAGAAUAAAAAGGUGUCAAGUGCUGGGGGUCAAAUCAAAAAGUUCAAGUCCAAGUUCGAUCAGAGUCAGGCAGAGUACUUCUACUAUA
rnacentral:lncRNA from 1 species